GACCCAGUGUGUUGAAGUGGUUUGAGCUUUGGACUACAACUCUGGAGAUCAGGGUUCAAAUCCCAGCUCAGUCA